rnacentral:rRNA from 1 species
AUUAAACGCUGGCGGCAUGCCUUACACAUGCAAGUCGAACGGCAGCACGGGGGCAACCCUGGUGGCGAGUGGCGGACGGGUGAGUAAAGCAUCGGAACGUAUCCUGGAGUGGGGGAUAACGUAGCGAAAGUUGCGCUAAUACCGCAUAUUCUGUGAGCAGGAAAGCAGGGGACCGCAAGGCCUUGCGCUCUUUGAGCGGCCGAUGUCAGAUUAGCUAGUUGGUGAGGUAAAGGCUUACCAAGGCGACGAUCUGUAGCGGGUCUGAGAGGAUGAUCCGCCACACUGGAACUGAGACACGGUCCAGACUCCUACGGGAGGCAGCAGUGGGGAAUUUUGGACAAUGGGGGCAACCCUGAUCCAGCCAUGCCGCGUGAGUGAAGAAGGCCUCGG